rnacentral:lncRNA from 1 species
AUUCCAGGAGCCUCAUUCCUGCCCCUAAUUGCUAUUCUAGUUAUUCUAAGGUGGUCCAUGGAGAGCCCUGGGAAGGAUUACGAAUCAUUCCAUUCAUAUCCAGCACCUCUGCCAGCGAGGGAUGUAAGACAACGCUUAAGGCUGUCAACACAAUGGUUAUCUUUGAAAACUGUGGUGUGUGUUUGUGGAGAUCGCCUAUUUGGUACACAAGAGGAUGAAUCUUCCCAGACCAGAGAGAGCACCAGGCCUCCUAGGCAUUGCCAUUAGCAAAGGGAUGCUGGUGCCAGGCUGAGGAAAGGACCAGGAACAAGGUUCUCCACACAUCCUCCAUCCGUGCGUUCCAGGGCUCGUGGGUUUGCUUCAGCCAAAACCUCGAACGAGCCACAUCCUUGUGUUCUUGACUGUGAUGAG